CCCUUAGAUGUUCUGGGCCGCACACGCGCUACACUGAAGGAGGCAGCGUGUACUCCUGGAUCGAAAGAUUUGGGUAACCCGCGAAUCUCCUUCGUGCUAGGGAUUGAGGUUUGCAAUUAUCCUUCAUGAACGAGGAAUUCCCAGUAAGUGCAAGUCAUAAGCUUGCGCUGACUACGUCCCUGCCCUUUGUACACACCGCCCGUCGCCACUACCGAUUGAAUGAUUUAGUGAGGACUUCGGACUGGGACCGAUGCGGCUUUCGGGCUGCGUCGGUAUUCUGGAAAGAUGUCCAAACUGUAUCAUUUAGAGGAAGUAAAANUCGUANCA
rnacentral:rRNA from 1 species